UGCCCCGAAAACGUAAGGGUUCCUCUGCAAGGCUCGUCCUCAGAGGGUCAGUCAGGACCUAAGGUGAGGCCGAAAGGCGUAAUCGAUGGAAAGUAGGCUUAUAUUCCUACACCGUUAUUUUAUUAGUCCUGAGGGACGAACAAAUGAAGUUAAAGAAAAAUGCCACCUUGGCAGGUGGAAUAACAGAUUUCUUCUUUCUACAUUUUUUCCAAGAAAAGCUCAUCGACUUUGAUAAAAUAAUGCCUGUACCGUAAACCGACACAGGUACGUGGGUUGAAUAAACUAAGGGGCGCGAGAUAACUCUCUCUAAGGAACUCGGCAAAUUNNNNNAGAGAGGGCCGCAGUGAAGAGGCCCAGGCGACUGUUUACCAAAAACACAGGUCUCCGCUAAGUCGCAAGACGAUGUAUGGGGGCUGACGCCUGCCCAGUGCCGGAAGGUUAAGGAAGCCGGUCAGCGUAAGCGAAGCUGGCGACUGAAGCCCCGGUGAACGGCGGCCGUAACUAUAACGGUCCUAAGGUAGCGAAAUUCCUUGUCGGGUAAGUUCCGACCCGCACGAAAGGCGUAACGAUCUGGGCGCUGUCUCGGAGAGAGGCUCGGCGAAAUAGAAUUGUCUGUGAAGAUGCGGACUACGUACACCCGGACAGAAAGACCCUAUGAAGCUUUACUGUAACUUGGAAUUGCUCUCAA
rnacentral:rRNA from 1 species